CCUACCAUGCAGUCGUACGCAGUAGCAAUACUGAGUGGCGCACGGGUGAGUAACACGUGGGUAAUCUACCUUACUGUUUGGGAUAACCGGUCGAAAGACUGGCUAAUACCGGAUAAGACCACGGAUCCUUCGGGUUCUGUGGGAAAAGCUGGGGAUCUUCGGACCUAGCGCAGAAAGAUGAGCUCGCGUCCCAUUAGCUAGUUGGCGGUGUAAUAGACCACCAAGGCGACGAUGGGUAGCUGGUCUGAGAGGACGAUCAGCCACACUGGCACUGAAACACGGGCCAGACUCCUACGGGAGGCAGCAGUGGGGAAUAUUGCGCAAUGGGCGAAAGCCUGACGCAGCAACGCCGCGUGAGUGAUGAAGGUCUUCGGAUCGUAAAGCUCUGUCAGCAGGGAAGAAACCUAGGUGAUCUAAUAUAUCAUCUAAUUGACGGUACCUGCGAAGGAAGCACCGGCUAACUCUGUGCCAGCAGCCGCGGUAAUACAGAGGGUGCGAGCGUUGUUCGGAAUUAUUGGGCGUAAAGAGCGCGUAGGUGGUUUGCUAAGUCUGGUGUGAAAGCCCUCGGCUUAACCGAGGAAGUGCAUUGGAUACUGGCAAGCUUGAGUGUGAGAGAGGAUUGUGGAAUUCCUGGUGUAGCGGUGAAAUGCGUAGAUAUCAUGAGGAACACCGGUGGCGAACGCGGCAAUCUGGAUCAUAACUGACACUGAGCGCGAAAGCGUGGGUAGCAACAGGAUUAGAUACCCUGGUAGUCCACGCCGUAAACGAUGAUGCUAGUGUUGCAGGCUU
rnacentral:rRNA from 1 species